UACAGAGGGUGCAAGCGUUGUUCGGAAUUAUUGGGCGUAAAGCGCGUGUAGGCGGCUUUGCAAGUCGGGUGUGAAAGCCCUCAGCUUAACUGAGGAAGUGCGCCCGAAACUGCAGAGCUUGAGUCCCGGAGAGGGUGGCGGAAUUCCCCAAGUAGAGGUGAAAUUCGUAGAUAUGGGGAGGAACACCGGUGGCGAAGGCGGCCACCUGGACGGAUACUGACGCUGAGACGCGAAAGCGUGGGUAGCAAACAGG
rnacentral:rRNA from 1 species